GGUCCUAAGGUAGCGAAAUUCCUUGUCGGGUAAGUUCCGACCUGCACGAAUGGUGCAACGAUCUGGACACUGUCUCAGCCAUGAGCUCGGUGAAAUUGUAGUAUCGGUGAAGAUGCCGAUUACCCGCAGCGGGACGAAAAGACCCCGUGAACCUUUACUAUAGCUUAGUAUUGGCUUUGGAUAAGUAAUGUGUAGGAUAGGUGGGAGACAUUGAAGUGGCGUCGCUAGGCGUUGUGGAGUCGUCCUUGAAAUACCACCCUUUGCUUAUCUAGAGUCUAACUCAGAGAUGAGGACAGUGCUUGGUGGGUAGUUUGACUGGGGUGGUCGCCUCCAAAAGAGUAACGGAGGCUUCUAAAGGUACCCUCAGCACGCUUGGUAACCGUGCGUAGAGUGCAAUGGCAUAAGGGUGCUUGACUGAGAGACAUACAGGUCGAUCAGGUUGGAAACAAGAGCAUAGUGAUCCGGUGGUUCCGCAUGGAAGGGCCAUCGCUCAAAGGAUAAAAGGUACUCCGGGGAUAACAGGCUGAUCUCCCCCAAGAGCUCACAUCGACGGGGGGGUUUGGCACCUCGAUGUCGGCUCGUCACAUCCUGGGGCUGGAGAAGGUCCCAAGGGUUGGGCUGUUCGCCCAUUAAAGUGGCACGCGAGCUGGGUUCAGAACGUCGCGAGACAGUUCGGUCUCUAUCUGCUGUGGGCGUUGGAAAUUUGAGUGGAGCUGACUUUAGUACGAGAGGACCGAGUUGGACAGCCCUCUAGUGCACCUGUUGUAUCGCCAGAUGCAUCGCAGGGUAGCUACGGCUGGUUGGGAUAAGCACUGAAAGCAUAUAAGUGCGAAGCCCACCACAAGAUGAGAUUUCCCUUAAGGGCCGUUCGAGACUAGGACGUUGAUAGGCUUCAGGUGUAAAGGCAGUAAUGUCAUAGCCGAGAAGUACUAAUUACCCGUGGCUUUCUAAU
rnacentral:rRNA from 1 species